rnacentral:tRNA from 1 species
AAUCUUAUAUUCAAAUAUGAUAUUAAAUUGCAAAUUUAAAGGUAUUAAAUUAUUUAAUUAAGGUUU